GACGAACGCUGGCGGCGUGCUUAACACAUGCAAGUCGAACGGUAAGGCCCUUCGGGGUACACGAGUGGCGAACGGGUGCGUAACGCGUGAGUAACCUGCCCUUCACUCUGGGAUAACAGUUGGAACCGGCUGCUAAUACCGGAUAUUCAGCUCCUGUCGCAUGGUGGGGGUUGGAAAGUUUUGGUGGUGGAGGAUGGGCUCGCGUCCUAUCAGCUUGUUGGUGGGGUGAUGGCCUACCAAGGCGUCGACGGGUAGCCGGCCUGAGAGGGCGACCGGCCACAUUGGGACUGAGAUACGGCCCAAACUCCUACGGGAGGCAGCAGUGGGGAAUAUUGCACAAUGGGCAGAAGCCUGAUGCAGCAACGCCGCGUGCGGGAUGACGGCCUUCGGGUUGUAAACCGCUUUCAGCAGGGACGAAGCGCAAGUGACGGUACCUGCAGAAGAAGCACCGGCUAACUACGUG
rnacentral:rRNA from 1 species